AUUGAACGCUGGCGGCAGGCCUAACACAUGCAAGUCGAACGAGUGGCGGACGGGUGAGUAAUGUCUGGGAAACUGCCCGAUGGAGGGGGAUAACUACUGGAAACGGUAGCUAAUACCGCAUACCAUCGGAUGUGCCCAGAUGGGAUUAGCUAGUAGGUGGGGUAACGGCUCACCUAGGCGACGAUCCCUAGCUGGUCUGAGAGGAUGACAAGCAACACUGGAACGGAGACACGGUCCAGACUCUGACGGUAGGACGCAGGGGGGAAUAUUGCACAAUGGGCGAAAGUCUGAGGCGGCCAUGCCGCGUGGAUGAAGAAGGCUUUCGGGUUGUAAAGUACUUUCAGCGAGGAGGCGUUACUCGAGGAAGAAGCACCGGCUAACUCCGGGCGAGCAGCGGCGGUAAUAC
rnacentral:rRNA from 1 species